UACAGAGGGGGCGAGCGUUGUUCGGAAUUACUGGGCGUAAAGGGCGCGUAGGCGGCCAACUAAGUCAGACGUGAAAUCCCUCGGCUCAACCGGGGAACUGCGUCUGAUACUGGAUGGCUUGAAUUCGGGAGAGGGAUGCGGAAUUCCAGGUGUAGCGGUGAAAUGCGUAGAUAUCUGGAGGAACACCGGUGGCGAAGGCGGCAUCCUGGACCGAGAUUGACGCUGAUGCGCGAAAGCCAGGGGAGCAACGGG
rnacentral:rRNA from 1 species